rnacentral:tRNA from 1 species
CGCGGAGUGCUUGUAACGGUAACUGGACAGUCUCAUAAACUGCUCGAUUGUGGGUUCGACUCCCACCUCCGCCACCA